UUGAAGACAAUGGAUAACGCCAGCAUUUCUUCCCAGUGGUCAAACCUGGCUGGCGGAGAACAAAAAGCGACGCAACUAACGCGCCCGUCUCCUCUCUCCAACUCGCUGCCAUGAAAAAAAAAGACAAAAACCAAACCCAAUCUCCCCGGCAGCUCAAGAACAGCCCCGUUCCACUUAGCUGACACCCGUUGAUGUCGUGAAGGAGAACAGAAAUGAGGAAUGGAAUGGAAACGACGGGUGCGGACAGUCCAAACGAAACGGCCAGAAAGGAGAGGAAGAGAGCGCCGGCAAGGCCAAAUCGAAGCAAGCGGGAUCGACAAAGCUCCUCCGGCAUUUUCUCACUUUUUCGCGAGAGUCUAGUUCUGGAUGUCAAGUAUCGUGCUAAAGUCUUCGAUCACUCCCCAUGAGAGAUGUCGUUUUAGCACAUAUGAUAACGCCGGAGUACGGGGGGGGGGGGGUCCAAACUUUUUCGUUUGAGGAUGAAAGGGCCAUUUUCAAAUUCUUCAACCCGCAAAAGCAAUUGUGGAUUUUUGGUCUGGUCCAAUCCAUUUCCUCAGCUUUCUGUUAAGGGUGUUACGGCAGAUAGUGGAGGAUUUGUUGGGGAGGUGGCCAACAGCCCUCUCUCUCGCAGAGCGGAUCCGGCUCUGCGCUGAACAGCGGCCAAAUCUCCCGCUUUCUGCACCCCCCAAAAAGUCCAAACCGGAGUCAGGUGACCAUUUUUCAAACGGUUACUCGAGGAUCGUUCGUGUGAUUGCGGCAACACCAAGUUUAGAUCAUUCAAAACACAAAUGAUGAUGGAAAUCAACUUCUUUAACCCGUCCCACACUUGUAUGAGCGUCUGUUCAAGUCUCUGCGUAGACAAUUCGAUGACACCGCAUAUCGUGAAUAUGGCAGGUGAUCAAUUUCGAGCUUAACUGUAAAUAAACAUAUGCAAAAUGUACAUGUUGAAUUAAAAAUAGAACAUUUUUCUCUCGAGUUCUGACUGUGAAGAGUGUCGUUUGAGGUUGGACGCCAAUAGGAUGGCUGUGACUAUGACAAUAUAAAGUACUUCAGAGAAUAUGUGUGGUGUAUUUUCAAAAAAAAGAGACUUCGGUUUCAGAAAAAAGGUCAGUUGCAUUGUGUCCCAAGUACUAAAAUGUGGGGGGAAUGAAAUGUGUUCAAUGGAUGAAGAAUACUUUUUUUUUAAAUCCACAAUGACAAAGAUUUUUUUUUAAAUUGUACAUGUGGAGUUUCUUUUUUUUUGUUUGUUUUGAUUUGAAUCCCAUGCAACACAAACUACCAAAAUUCAUUUAAUAAAGUACACUGUGGUCAUGUG